rnacentral:rRNA from 1 species
GCAAGUCGAGGGGUAACAUAGCUGUUUACAGUUGAUGACGACCGGCGCACGGGUGCGUAACGCGUAUGCAACCUGCCUUACACAUAGGGAUAGCCCCGUGGAAUUGGGAUUAACACCUUAUAGUAUUACGAGUUCACCUGAACUUGUAAUUAAAACCCCGGUGGUGUAAGAUUGGCACGCGUAUGAUUAGCUAGAAGGUGAGGUAACGGCUCACCAUGGCGACGAUCAUUAGGGGUCCUGAGAGGGUGAUC